GACGGCCGCAUCACGUUGAAACACCGGCUCACAUCCGAUCACGGAAAUUAAGCAACAUUGAGACUGGUCAGUACCUAGAUGGGUGACCGCUUGGGAAAACCAGGUGCUGUAA